UGUGGUGUGGCUCAGUGGAAGAGCACUUGCCUAGCAUGUGUGAGGUACAGGGUUCAAUUCUCAGUAACACAU
rfam:Ictidomys tridecemlineatus contig090240, whole genome shotgun sequence.